rnacentral:rRNA from 1 species
GAUGAACGCUGGCGGCGUGCCUAAUACAUGCAAGUCGAGCGAACAGACGAGGAGCUUGCUCCUCUGACGUUAGCGGCGGAAGGGUGAGUAACACGUGGCUAACCUACCUAUAAGACUGGGAUAACUUCGGCAAACCGGAGCUAAUACCGGAUAACAUGUUGACUAGUAUGGUUUAACAGUGAAAGACGGUCUUGCUGUCACUUAUAGAUGGAUCCGCGCAGCAUUAGCUAGUUGGUAAGGUAACGGCUUACCAAGUCAACGAUGCGUAGCCGACCUGAGAGGGUGAUCGGCCACACUGGAACUGAGACACGGCCCAGACUCCUACGGGAGGCAGCAGUAGGGAAUCUUCCGCAAUGGGCGAAAGCCUGACGGAGCAACGCCGCGUGAGUGAUGAAGGUUUUCGGAUCGUAAAACUCUGUUAUUAGGGAAGAACGUAUGUGUAAGUAACUGUGCACGUCGUGACGGUACCUAAUCAGAAAGCCACGGCUAACUACGUG